rnacentral:rRNA from 1 species
UGGGGAAUAUUGCACAAUGGGCGAAAGCCUGAUGCAGCAACGCCGCGUGAGGGAAGACGGUUUUCGGAUUGUAAACCUCUGUUUUCGGUGACGAACAAAUGACGGUAACCGAGUAGGAAGCCACGGCUAACUACGUGCCAGCAGCCGCGGUAAUACGUAGGUGGCAAGCGCUAUCCGGAUUUACUGGGUGUAAAGGGAGCGUAGGCGGCAUGGCAAGUCUGAUGUGAAAACCCAGGGCUCAACUCUGGGACUGCAUUGGAAACUGUCAAGCUGGAGUGUCGGAGAGGUAAGCGGAAUUCCUAGUGUAGCGGUGAAAUGCGUAGAUAUUAGGAGGAACACCAGUGGCGAAGGCGGCUUACUGGACGAUGACUGACGCUGAGGCUCGAAAGCGUGGGGAGCAAACAGGAUUAGAUACCCUGGUAGU